GCGGAAAUUGGGGAAAAAAAGUGGGUUUUCGUUUUUUGUUUUUUUGCUUUGCGCCUUUACCUGGAUGAAAUGCCUUGUGGACAUUUAUACUGUAGACAUCCUGCCACAGCACAAGACUGAAUUCAACAGAGUUUCUAGCUCACACGUGUGGCGUGGUGUGUUUUCUAAUCUGUUUACUUGUGUGAAGAGUUUUACUUUUACAGAUUUGCUGCUUAAAUUCAAACUCACAGUUUGUCUUCAUGGUCAUUGUAUCAAUAUUACCCCCCUGAAUGCGAUCUGCCUCAUUAUUAACAAUUAAAUUAAGUGGACUUUAUUAGCAUAAAUUCCAAUCUAUCCAUUUUUCCCACUUAUUAAAUUCAGGGUUGGGUUGGGUAUAUCCCAGCUGGCUUAGGGUGAGAUAGGGUGUGAGAGGUAGGGUACACCGUGGGCAGAUCACCAGCCUGUCUCAGGGCUAACAGAGAGAAACAACCUCAACCUCUCGCCCCUCUUAAUCUUUCAGUCGUCUUAAACCCACGCUGGCUCUUCUGGACAACUUUAAGGAUGAAUCCACCCAUUCUUAGAAAUCUCUGGUGUUAGACGUGUUCCUAUUCUAUGUCUAUUUUAUCCAGAAUGGUCACCAGUUAACACUGAUGAGUGAAUUAUAUCCAAAUCAAAAAGACUAAAUGAUCCUACCCUCAUGUCAAAGCUGUUGGCAUUUACACCUUGGUAAUAUCACAGAUUGGCACAAAGAUUUAAGAGUCAAACCUUGCAAUUAUGAGCCAAUUAUGCAACUUACAUAUACCGUGUACAUUUAGGCCAUAGCUAUUCACCCUUGUGCCAAAUUUAAAAAAUAAAAAAUCUUCUAGAAAAAAAAAAUCAUAUUGAAAUAAAAUUGUCUGUAGCUGAAAAAAAAUGUGGUGACUUGAAGGUUGAUCCCCUGCGACGCUUUUAUUUUGAAGGGACGAGCGCCACAAGCGGAAGUUUGUGUCAACUCGGCAUACCGCAAAGUUAAGGGAGUCACCGCCAGCGUCACAGAAAGGAAACUCAUUUGGGAUUUUUUAACCUGGGUGUCACAGGCCGGUGCGGCAAAACAGUCCCAGGCAGGCGUGUGUGUGUUGUUUGAGUGCAGCUGAGCGGGUUGUGUGUGUGUGUCUGGAGACACCAUGUCUAAAACAGAGUGCAAAGCAGCUGAAGACAUGACCGAGGCGAUGGAGGCAACCAUGCAGCGACUUGAGCAAAGAUUCCAGAGCAUCUCUGAACAGCUGGAGUCCAAACAUAUCCUUUUUUCCAGCCGUGUUUUCUUCCAUUUCAGGCGCGUUUUAUCCACGCAGUCAGUCAGCUCAAAGUUCUGCUUGCUAAGACACACCUGAGAGCAAUGAGCUCACUAAUGAGACUUUCACUUUGACUCCUGUCAAUGAACACGUGGCCACUAGAGGGCGACCGACCGCUACCGAGACUCUUGAACUGUUCAACUGUUGUACAAGUUUAGCGCCACUGCUACUGAAGGUAAAAUAAGUCUUCUUUAAAAAUCACGUCGUUUUUGGUUUUCAUACAACAAUCACUUAAAAGUGCAGUAUGAAGAAAAUCAAAUGAGACAAACCUCUGUCAAAUGUGACAUUCUGCCUGUGACUUCUGCUACUGUAUAUGUUUAAAUAAUAAUUAUCUAUUUAAGGCACAUUGGCACCCAGUAAUGAGAUUUGUUCCUGUAAAAGAGUCAACAGUGAAAUGUGUGUUAAAAGAUGGGAAUAUACUCAGAAAUUAAGCUUUGUCUACUAGAAAAUGUGUCAGUGACGAGGGGUGAUUUUGAUAUGUGGUUGGAGAAAUCAUUAUUUGAUCCUUUGUAAGUUUGCUCACUCACGAAGAAAUGAGUGGUUAUAAAUGUGGUGCACACCUCAGUCAGUCAGUUACAGAUACUCCUGGUCUCAGCUAUUUCAGUGUAUAAAGCACACAAAAUCAGUGUCCUCCAUUCUAACCUCUCCGCCACCAUUGGCAAGACCAGAGCUGUCCUGUCAAAGGACAUCGAUGACAAGUUUGUAGACCUGCCCAAGACCAACAGCAAGAAGUUUGGUGAGGAGGUGACAGCUGUUCACCCUGGGUCUGGAGCUGCAUGUAAGAUCUUGCAUCAUUGGAUGAGGAUUAUCCUGAGGAGGGUAUGGACCAG
ensembl:lncRNA